GCCAGUCCGCGGUAAUUCCAGCUCCUCUUUGACGACCUACUGCAUCGAUUUCAUCAAUAAAAAUUACACAUGGACUAUUUUGACGAGCUUUGUCAAAUAAAUUUCUAACACGAGACGCGCCAACACCAACAAACAUCUCAAUAAAUUCAGAACCACUUGCACUAAUAAAUGGAACUCCUGCUUCACCAGCUACAGCUCUAGCUAGCAAAGUUUUUCCUGUUCCAGGGCUACCUUCUAAUAAAACUCCUUUUGGAAUUUUAGCACCAGCUUCAGUAUAUUUUUCAAAUUCCUUUGUAGGUGAACCUGCAGAAGGAUCGGUCAUA
rnacentral:rRNA from 1 species